GGCACUCCUGGCUGCCCAACGACAAAGGAAAGGCAGAAAACAAAUCCUUAAACUGAUAAAGAGUUGAAGUUAUGUGACCUGAGCACGGGGAUAAGAAGAGAGGAGGUCACAGAGAGCUGCCUGGAGUGGAUGCUGGAGCAUUUUCCUUAUUGUGGACUACAGCUCGGCAGGCUGCUCUGAAGAACUCCAAAGCUUGUGAUCUCAGAGGGGAUCAUGUGCAAAAAGGGGACAGAAUAGACAUGCUUACAGGCAGCUCUCUCAAGUGGCUGCAUCAUUUUAUAUUCCCACCAACCCAGAGCUGAAACUUUUGAAUAGAAGGGAAGAAGAGGUGGGAACAGGGAAGGCACCUGAGGAAGAAGCAGGACAUGGAGCUGCAUCUGAGAUCAGAGGCAACAGAAUAUGGCAAAGCCGAAGUGAUUCCAUGGAUGUAAUUAAGCUCCCAAAGCAGUUGAUUUUGAGUUCACCAAAAGGGAGAGAGAACAUUCUGAGUGGCAUCACUUAACUGGGUAGAAAAUCUUAAAAGGACUGGGCCCUCCCUGAGGUGAGACUCGAUCCUUAUGGGCUUGAUGACAUGAGCAGUCACAUGAGAGAAACCCACGUGGCAAGGAACUGUGGGCGGUCUCCAGCCAAUAGUAACUUGCAGCCAGACAAUCACAAGGAAAUAAGUUCUGCCAGCAACCCAAGGAAGCUUAGGAGCGGUUCUGUCCCUUGCUGAGUCUCCAGAGGAAGAUGUGGUCUGUCCACACAUUGGCUGCAGCCUCAUCAGACCUGAGCAGAGGGCCCAGUGCAGCCACGUCCAGACCCCUGACCCAGAAAGCUGUGAGAUGAUGCAGCAGAGGAAUGAUCUGGAGAAAAUCCCUCGGAAAACUGAAAUUUGGGAGAGUGACACAGAAAUGCAAAUUUCGUCCAAUACAAAUCAGAAAACUUGUGGCUUCGGUGAUCCAGUAAUCGCCCCUAUUAAACAGCUGGAAUAAGCAGUUAAAAUGCACAGAAUGCAGAAUAGACUUUCCAGGCUGGGACAGACCGGAGGACCACCCAACAGCCUCAUUUUACAUCUCAAGCCCAGACAAGCCAACCGUGAUGGGCAACAGCCAUGCAGAGAGCAUCUGGAUGCGGAUGGACAUGCAAAAAAAAACAUGAGGGUUCAGGAGUCAGCAAAAGCACCCGGUCACCAGGUCCACCAGGCCUUAGGAAAGGCUUAGCCCUAAGAGAAGAUAAAGGAACACCAGAAGCUGCAAAUAGCACAGAUCUGAGAUUUAGUUCGGCUCAGUGUUCUUUGGUACUGAGGUCACCCAGCCUCUGACUCUCGGCUUCCCUAUGUAGGAAAUGGUCGUGUAACACAGGUAUUAUGAAGAUUCAAUUAGAUAAUUUAUGAAAAGUG